rnacentral:rRNA from 2 species
UAGGGAAUCUUCCACAAUGGACGCAAGUCUGAUGGAGCAACGCCGCGUGAGUGAAGAAGGUUUUCGGAUCGUAAAGCUCUGUUGUUGGUGAAGAAGGAUAGAGGUAGUAACUGGCCUUUAUUUGACGGUAAUCAACCAGAAAGUCACGGCUAACUACGUGCCAGCAGCCGCGGUAAUACGUAGGUGGCAAGCGUUGUCCGGAUUUAUUGGGCGUAAAGCGAGCGCAGGCGGAAGAAUAAGUCUGAUGUGAAAGCCCUCGGCUUAACCGAGGAACUGCAGCGGAAACUGUUUUUCUUGAGUGCAGAAGAGGAGAGUGGAAUUCCAUGUGUAGCGGUGGAAUGCGUAGAUAUAUGGAAGAACACCAGUGGCGAAGGCGACUCUCUGGUCUGCAACUGACGCUGAGGCUCGAAAGCAUGGGUAGCGAACAGG